UGGAGUGUCGAUAGCGGAGAGGAAACACCUGAUCCCAUUCCGAACUCAGCAGUUAAGCUCUCCAUCGGCGAAGGUAGUGCUUGGGAGACUAAGUGUCAGAAUAGCAAGAUGCUCCUU
rnacentral:rRNA from 1 species